rnacentral:rRNA from 1 species
AGAACGAACGCUGGCGGCGUGGAUAAGACAUGCAAGUCGAACGGAACUGUUUGUGUAGCAAUACAGAGGCAGUUAGUGGCGAACGGGUGCGUAACACGUGGGCAAUCUGCCGAAAAGUGGGGGAUAGCUCGCCGAAAGGCGAAUUAAUACCGCAUGUGGUCAGGAGAGGCAUCUCUCCAACACUAAAGCCGGGGCAACCUGGCGCUUUUUGAUGAGCCCGCGGCCUAUCAGCUAGUUGGUGAGGUAACGGCUCACCAAGGCGAUGACGGGUAGCGGGUCUGAGAGGACGACCAGCCACACUGGAACUGAGACACGGUCCAGACACCUACGGGUGGCAGCAGUCGAGAAUUUUUCUCAGUGGGGGAAACCCUGAAGGAGCGACGCCGCGUGGAGGAUGAAGGUUUUCGGAUUGUAAACUCCUGUCAUUCGGGAACAAUUGUACGGUUUUAACUGAGCCGUGCUUGAUAGUACCGGAAGAGGAAGAGACGGCUAACUCUGUGCCAGCCGCGGC